GCCUAACACAUGCGAGUCGAGCGGAUGAGAAAAGCUUGCUCUUCGAUUCAGCGGCGGACGGGUGAGUAAUGCCUAGGAAUCUGCCUGGUAGUGGGGGACAACGUUUCGAAAGGAACGCUAAUACCGCAUACGUCCUACGGGAGAAAGCAGGGGACCUUCGGGCCUUGCGCUAUCAGAUGAGCCUAGGUCGGAUUAGCUAGUUGGUGAGGUAAUGGCUCACCAAGGCGACGAUCCGUAACUGGUCUGAGAGGAUGAUCAGUCACACUGGAACUGAGACACGGUCCAGACUCCUACGGGAGGCAGCAGUGGGGAAUAUUGGACAAUGGGCGAAAGCCUGAUCCAGCCAUGCCGCGUGUGUGAAGAAGGUCUUCGGAUUGUAAAGCACUUUAAGUUGGGAGGAAGGGCAUUAACCUAAUACGUUAGUGUUUUGACGUUACCGACAGAAUAAGCACCGGCUAACUCUGUGCCAGCAGCCGCGGUAAUACAGAGGGUGCAAGCGUUAAUCGGAAUUACUGGGCGUAAAGCGCGCGUAGGUGGUUUGUUAAGUUGGAUGUGAAAGCCCCGGGCUCAACCUGGGAACUGCAUCCAAAACUGGCAAGCUAGAGUACGGUAGAGGGUGGUGGAAUUUCCUGUGUAGCGGUGAAAUGCGUAGAUAUAGGAAGGAACACCAGUGGCGAAGGCGACCACCUGGACUGAUACUGACACUGAGGUGCGAAAGC
rnacentral:rRNA from 1 species